rnacentral:rRNA from 1 species
ACGAUAACGGCGUCGAGCGGCGGACGGGUGAGUAAUGCCUAGGAAAUUGCCCUGAUGUGGGGGAUAACCAUUGGAAACGAUGGCUAAUACCGCAUGAUGCCUACGGGCCAAAGAGGGGGACCUUCGGGCCUCUCGCGUCAGGAUAUGCCUAGGUGGGAUUAGCUAGUUGGUGAGGUAAGGGCUCACCAAGGCGACGAUCCCUAGCUGGUCUGAGAGGAUGAUCAGCCACACUGGAACUGAGACACGGUCCAGACUCCUACGGGAGGCAGCAGUGGGGAAUAUUGCACAAUGGGCGCAAGCCUGAUGCAGCCAUGCCGCGUGUGUGAAGAAGGCCUUCGGGUUGUAAAGCACUUUCAGUCGUGAGGAAGGUAGUGUAGUUAAUAGCUGCAUUAUUUGACGUUAGCGACAGAAGAAGCACCGGCUAACUCCGUGCCAGCAGCCGCGGUAAUACGGAGGGUGCGAGCGUUAAUCGGAAUUACUGGGCGUAAAGCGCAUGCAGGUGGUUUGUUAAGUCAGAUGUGAAAGCCCGGGGCUCAACCUCGGAAUUGCAUUUGAAACUGGCAGACUAGAGUACUGUAGAGGGGGGUAGAAUUUCAGGUGUAGCGGUGAAAUGCGUAGAGAUCUGAAGGAAUACCGGUGGCGAAGGCGGCCCCCUGGACAGAUACUGACACUCAGAUGCGAAAGCGUGGGGAGCAAACAGGAUUAGAUACCCUGGUAGUCCACGCCGUAAACGAUGUCUACUUGGAGGUUGUGGCCUUGAGCCGUGGCUUUCGGAGCUAACGCGUUAAGUAGACCGCCUGGGGAGUACGGUCGCAAGAUUAAAACUCAAAUGAAUUGACGGGGGCCCGCACAAGCGGUGGAGCAUGUGGUUUAAUUCGAUGCAACGCGAAGAACCUUACCUACUCUUGACAUCCAGAGAACUUUCCAGAGAUGGAUUGGUGCCUUCGGGAACUCUGAGACAGGUGCUGCAUGGCUGUCGUCAGCUCGUGUUGUGAAAUGUUGGGUUAAGUCCCGCAACGAGCGCAACCCUUAUCCUUGUUUGCCAGCGAGUAAUGUCGGGAACUCCAGGGAGACUGCCGGUGAUAAACCGGAGGAAGGUGGGGACGACGUCAAGUCAUCAUGGCCCUUACGAGUAGGGCUACACACGUGCUACAAUGGCGCAUACAGAGGGCGGCCAACUUGCGAAAGUGAGCGAAUCCCAAAAAGUGCGUCGUAGUCCGGAUUGGAGUCUGCAACUCGACUCCAUGAAGUCGGAAUCGCUAGUAAUCGUGGAUCAGAAUGCCACGGUG